GGGAGAGGGGCGGGGCCGGCGGGGCCGUUUUGCUUCGAGGAUUGUUUGAGAAGCUUUAGGCGGCGGGUGUCUCUGGAAGAAAUUAGAAUCUGGAAACUGUUCUUCAGGAAGAUAUCCUUUAGUUUGGAAUUGGAGGAUUCCUUUGCAUCAGAUACUGAAAUGAAAGAACCAUUGUUAGAUGGUGAAUGUGACAAGGCAGAGGCAUCACGGCUGGGGCUGCUAGAUGAAAUUAAGACAGAACCCGACAAUGUUCAAGAGUUUUGUCACACCCAACCGUCCAGAACUCAGGAGAAUGAACUGAAAAUAAACACUGUGGUUUCAGAGAGUGGUAAUAGAGUUAUUUAAGUUAAUCACGUUUAUUCAGACCAGUAUGAUAGCUAAUUCAUUCUUUUUUAAUGACUUUGAAUAUUACUCUGUGUUGGGUUUCAAGUCCAGGAGAAGUAACCUGUAAG